rnacentral:lncRNA from 1 species
GUUAAUGAAAAUAAGUGAAAAUAAGCCAAAAUCAAAAUUUUAGAAUUUGACCUUGACCUUUGACCUUGACCUAAUUUUCAUUUUUUUGGACCAAGGAUCUUAAAUCAAAAGACCCUAGGUCUCUAUCACUUAUAGUUUACCAGUUAGAAAUGCAUAUCACUUAUAUCAUAUAUAAAAGGGGGAUAACUCUCAUAUGGAGUCUCCGGAUAGCUUCGGUCAAAAUGAAACAGAACAUCCUGAGGAUGUAACGAGCAAUUUGGUAAAAUAAAUUUGUCGUAAUCUUUUACGGUUGCGAAGGAGUAGUGGCCACAAGAAAAACAGUGUUCGGGGAGAUAACUCUUACAAGGUAAAGUUUUUUUGUUACGCGGUGUCAGUUUCAGAAGCGUAUUAACUGUUCGAUAUCAUAUACCAUAAUAUCUAAGCGACAUCUUGUGAAACAAAAAACAGCGAAGGAAAAAAAGUUGGCGGAAGAAAAAAAAAAAAAAAAAAAUAAUAAUAAUUAAAAACCAAUUGUUCAAAGAACAAUUGAAGGUCUUUCAACCAAUAAAGGAUCUAUUUUGAUAUGAAAAUAUUAAAAUUCAGUUGAAAAUGUCAGUUCCUAUGGCUUUAAUGAUGUAUAAAUAUGAAUUUUAAAGCAAAGGUCAAAAUCUAGAACGUCCAAUUAACCUAUGACCUUGACCUCAAUUUCAAGGUCAUAGACUAAACAUCUCAAAUCAAAAAGACACUAGUUCCUUAAUAUGUAUGGUUCAUGAGUAAUAUCACUUUACGCAUAAUUCUAAAUAUAAGAGGGGCGAAAACUCCCAUUUAUUGUCUACGCACCCUUGCAACCAAAAUUUAUAAGUUACGACAUGUCGCAACUAACAAUUUAGUAAAAAUAAUUUGUCGAUAUCUUAUAAGGUUAAUGAAAAUAAGUGAAAAUAAGCCAAAAUCAAAAUUUAGAAUUUGACCUUGACCUUUGACCUUGACCUAAUUUUCAUUUUUUUGGACCAAGGAUCUUAAAUCAAAAGACCCUAGGUCUCUAUCACUUAUGGUUUACCAGUUAGAAAUGCAUAUCACUUAUAUCAUAUAUAAAAGGGGGGAUAACUCUCAUAUGGAGUCUCCGGAUAGCUUCGGUCCAAAUGAAACAGAACAUCCUGAGGAUAUAACGAGCAAUUUGGAAAAAUAAAUUUGUCGGUUUUCUUUUAUACGGUUGCGAAGGAGUAGUGGCCACAAGAAAAACAGUGUUCGGGGAGAUAACUCUUACAAGGUAAAGGUUUUUUGUUACGCGGUGUCAGUUUCAGAAGCGCAUUAACUGUUCGAUAUCAUAUUACCAAAUAUCUAAGCGACAUCUUGUGAAACAAAAAAACAGCGAAGGAAAAAAAAGUUGGCGGAAGAAAAAAAAAAAAAAAAAAAUAAUAAUAAUAAUAAUCAGAAC